GACGAACGCUGGCGGCGUGCUUAACACAUGCAAGUCGAACGAAGAGCGAUGGAAGCUUGCUUCUAUCAAUCUUAGUGGCGAACGGGUGAGGAACGCGUAAUCAACCUGCCCUUCAGAGGGGGACAAUAGUGGGAAACGAUUGCUCAUACCGCAUACGAUCGAACCACGGCAUCGAGGAGAGAGGAAAGGUGGCCUCUACACGUAAGCUAUCACCGAAGGAGGGGAUUGCGUCUGGUUAGCUAGUUGGAGGGGUAACGGCCCACCAAGGCGAUGAUCAGUAGCCGGUCUGAGAGGUUGACCGGCCACAUUGGAACUGGGACACGGCCCAGACUCCUACGGGAGGCAGCAGUGGGGAAUCUUCCGCAAUGGACGAAAGUCUGACGGAGCAACGCCGCGUGAGUGAUGACGGCCUUCGGGUUGUAAAGCUCUGUUAAUCGGGACGAAAGGCCUUCUUGCGAAUAGUUCGCAGGAUGGCCGGUACCGGAAUAGAAGGCCCCGGCUACCUCCGU
rnacentral:rRNA from 1 species